rnacentral:rRNA from 1 species
CUCCGGUUGAUCCUGCCGGACCUGACUGCUAUCGGAUUGGUACUAAGCCAUGCGAGUCAUUGUAGCAAUACAAGGCGGACGGCUCAGUAACACGUAGUCAACCUAACCCGUGGACGCGGAUAACCUCGGGAAACUGAGAAUAAACCGCGAUAGAUCAUUAUGCCUGGAAUGGCUUAUGGUCCAAACAGUUUACUGCCAUGGGAUGGGACUGCGUCCGAUCAGGCUGUUGGCGGGGUAAUGGCCCACCAAACCUGUAACCGGUACGGGCCUUGAGAGAGGUGGCCCGGAGAUGGACACUGAGAGAAGGGUCCAGGUCCUACGGGGCGCAGCAGGCGCGAAACCUUCGCAAUGCGCGAAAGCGUGACGAGGUUAAUCCGAGUGACUCCCGCUGAGGGGGUCUUUUGUCAGCUGUAAAUAGGCAGGCGAAUAAGGGGAGGGCAAGCCUGGUGUCAGCCGCCGCGGUAAUACCAGCUCCUCGAGUGGUCGGGGCGAUUAUUGGGCCUAAAGCAUCCGUAGCCGGUUCCGUAGGUCCUCUGUUAAAUCCAACCGCUUAACGGUUGACCUGCAGAGGAUACCGCGGGACUAGGAGGCGGGAGAGGCGGACGGUAUUCCGCGUGUAGGGGUAAAAUCCUUUGAUCCGCGGAGGACCACCAGUGGCGAAGGCGGUCCGCCAGAACGCGCUCGACGGUGAGGGAUGAAAGCUGGGGGAGCGAACCGGAUUAGAUACCCGGGUAGUCCCAGCCGUAAACGAUGCUAGCUAGAUGAUUCAUUCGCAAGUCGCGAAUGAAGUGUCGCAGGGAAGCCGUUAAGCUAGCCGCCUGGGGAGUACGGUCGCAAGACUGAAACUUAAAGGAAUGGGCGGGGGAGCA